rnacentral:rRNA from 1 species
CAUAGCGACUAUCGUGGCAUAUCAAUAAGCGGAGGAAAAGAAACUAACUAGGAUUCCCUUAGUAACGGCGAGUGAAGCGGGAAGAGCUCAAAUUUGAAAUCUUCAAGGUUUUACCUUGACGAAUUGUAGUUUAAAGAAGUGUUUUCUGUUGGAGUUUUGGUAAAAGUUCUUUGGAAUAGGACAUCAUAGAGGGUGAGAAUCCCGUAUUUGACCAUUAUUUCCAACUUCGUGAUACACUUUCAAAGAGUCGGAUUGUUUGGGAAUGCAGUCCAAAAUGGGUGGUAAAUUUCAUCUAAAGCUAAAUACUGGCGAGAGACCGAUAGCGAACAAGUACCGUGAGGGAAAGAUGAAAAGAACUUUGAAAAGAGAGUUAAACAGUACGUGAAAUUGUCAAAAGGGAAGCGUUUGACACCAGUGUUAUUUUCUCGAAAAUCAAUUAAAAAUGGCUGGGAUUUUGUGUUGUAUUGACUUUAUCAGCUUUCUGCACUCUUUUUCCUAUCUUUUUUAAUGCACUUUUCGUUUAACAAGUCAACAUCAAUUUCUUUUGUUGUAAAAGAGUCAUUGGAAGGUGGCUUUCUUUUCGGAGAAAGUGUUUAUAGCCUUUGACUUCUACAAUCGGAGAGAUUGAGGUCUGCAGCGUAGAUCCUUCGGGGUUAGAUGCAUUUGUGCUAAGCUAUAGCCUUUCAUAGACAACUUGUUGACUAUGAUCAGUCAUGUAGCUUACUCGCUUAUGCUAUUUUACCUACGCUUAGGAUGUUGAGGAUAUGCGCGACACG